AAAUGUACGAUGUAAAUGUCUGCGCGUGCUCUUGUUUAUGUUUCUUUUUAUUUAUAUAUUUACUUUUUAUUAUUUUCUGUCUGCCUUUUUUUAGUU
rnacentral:ribozyme from 1 species